rnacentral:rRNA from 1 species
GUGAGGAAUAUUGCGCAAUGGAGGCAACUCUGACGCAGCCAUGCCGCGUGCAGGAAGAAGGCGCUACGCGUUGUAAACUGCUUUUAACCGGGAAGAAACCCCAGGACGUGUCCUGGGUUGACGGUACCGGAGGAAUAAGCACCGGCUAACUUCGUGCCAGCAGCCGCGGUAAUACGAAGGGUGCAAGCGUUAUCCGGAUUCAUUGGGUUUAAAGGGUGCGUAGGCGGAGCGUUAAGUCAGUGGUGAAAUCCUGCAGCUUAACUGUAGACUUGCCAUUGAUACUGGCGCUCUUGAGUGCGCUUGAAGUGGGCGGAAUGUGCCGUGUAGCGGUGAAAUGCUUAGAUAUGGCACAGAACACCAAUUGCGAAGGCAGCUCACUAAGGCGAUACUGACGCUGAGGCACGAAAGCGUGGGGAUCGAACAGGAUUAGAAACCCUUGUAAUCC